UACGAAGGGUCCAAGCGUUAUCCGGAUUUAUUGGGUUUAAAGGGUGCGUAGGCGGCUUAUUAAGUCAGUGGUGAAAGCCUGUAGCUCAACUACAGAACUGCCAUUGAUACUGAUGAGCUUGAAUAUACUUGAGGUUGGCGGAAUGUGUCAUGUAGCGGUGAAAUGCUUAGAUAUGCCACAGAACACCGAUUGCGAAGGCAGCUAGCUAAAGUACAAUUGACGCUGAUGCACGAAAGCGUGGGGAGCAAACAGG
rnacentral:rRNA from 1 species